AGGGGCCUGGUACAGAGUGGUGAUAAAUAAGAGAGUAGGUCCUGGAUUGGUUUCUGUUUAUAUUGUUGAUUUUGGAGAAUAUAAUGCUAUGACUGUAGAAGAAAUAAAACCAUUACCAUGGAGAUUUUGGAAGUUACCAUUUCAAGCCUUUAAAUGUAAAUUACAUGGAAUAAAACCAGUGAAAGGAACUCAGGUUUGGUAAGAAGGUGCCAAGCUGAAAAUGAAACAGAUGGCCGAGGAAAAAGAUUUAGUUGGACUAGUUUGUGGUAAAGAAGAUAAUGGAGUUGUCUCCCUUAGACUUGUCGAUACCACCAGUGAAAAAGAUGUGUGUUUAGACGAAAUUCUGUUGGAUCUAGCAAUGGCCCAAAUAAUUGAACCAACUUCAUGAUAUGCCACGUGAUUGGAGUUAUUGAGUAGAAUAUUUGAAACGUUUAUUUUAAUGACCUUUUUUAAUGAGAUAAUGAAGUAAAUCAACACAAUAUUCUGCGUUAAUGCUGAUUUUGUUAGAGGGUUACACAUAAAAAUAUAAAUCCUUUUUAAGAAUCCUGACUGAGAUUAUGUAGUUUAAUAUUAGAACAUUUUUUUUCCAAUGCCAUUUUUUUGUAUGUUACAAAUUGACCUUAUGCAAAUAAAUAUUAAACUUCUGUUAACCUAUUUCUGGUUAAAACACUGUAUAGAAAGUCUGUAAGUCUUUGAAAUGUUAUAAGAACCCUUCAAAACAUUCUACCAUUCAUAUUCCAAAAUCAACCAAAAACCCUACAAAACAGUCUAAAAUUCAUCUUUAUUCUGUUUUUGAAAGUUCCAUAAUCAACCAAAAUCUUAAGUAAGUACAUGUAUAAAUAUUCUUGCAGAAAGUCGAUUACGAUCCAACACAGGUCAUUUGUCAAUGUUAGUAUAUCUAUGUAUUGCAUAAUUUGAGUGAUUUCAUAUGUGC